rnacentral:rRNA from 1 species
CAGUCGCCGCGGUAAUACGUAGGUGGCAAGCGUUGCUCGGAAUUACUGGGCGUAAAGGGAGCGUAGGCGGACAUUUAAGUCAGGGGUGAAAUCCCAGAGCUCAACUCUGGAACUGCCUUUGAUACUGGGUGUCCUGAGUGUGAUAGAGGUAUGUGGAACUCCGAGUGUAGAGGUGAAAUUCGUAGAUAUUCGGAAGAACACCAGUGGCGAAGGCGACAUACUGGAUCAUUACUGACGCUGAGGCUCGAAAGCGUGGGGAGCGAACAGGAUUAGAUACCCCUGUAGUCCCUGUCUCUUAUAC